AUCUGCUAAAAUCAAUCAAGAGGACCAAGAGAUACCAUCUCACAGCAGUGAGGACGCGGAGCUGGAACACUUCAUUGCUGGAAAAUGAAGUCUGAAUGUACACCACAGCCCCUGAAAUAAGUGACACCUGAAUGUGUGUCUGGUCAAAACGACUCAUCCCAGAAAUGGAUGCUGGAAAGGUUGCCUGGACCCAUUCAUACACGUUUGGCAUCCCCUCAGCCAGGCUCCAAGCAGCUCCAAGACCUGUCACACAGCCCACAGCCUGACUUGGGACUGCUGCCGGCUGACCAUGCACUGGUGACCACCUGGAAUCAGGCCAGCACCUUGGUUCACUCUUCUGUCCCUGCUGAGGAAAAUCACAAAAAGACUUCCAAGCUG